rnacentral:rRNA from 1 species
AGUGAACGCUGGCGGUAGGCCUAACACAUGUAAGUCGAACGGCAGCACAGUAAGAGCUUGCUCUUACGGGUGGCGAGUGGCGGACGGGUGAGGAAUACAUCGGAAUCUACUUUUUCGUGGGGGAUAACGUAGGGAAACUUACGCUAAUACCGCAUACGACCUACGGGUGAAAGCAGGGGAGCUUCGGACCUUGCGCGAUUGAAUGAGCCGAUGUCGGAUUAGCUAGUUGGCGGGGUAAAGGCCCACCAAGGCGACGAUCCGUAGCUGGUCUGAGAGGAUGAUCAGCGACACUGGAACUGAGACACGGUCCAGACUCCUACGGGAGGCAGCAGUGGGGAAUAUUGGACAAUGGGCGCAAGCCUGAUCCAGCCAUACCGCGUGGGUGAAGAAGGCCUUCGGGUUGUAAAGCCCUUUUGUUGGGAAAGAAAAGCAGCAGGUUAAUACCCCGCUGUUCUGACGGUACCCAAAGAAUAAGCACCGGCUAACUUCGUG